AUACCCGCGCCCCAAGUGGUGGUCGAUAUUAUUGAGCCUAAAACGUCCGUAGCCGGUCUUCUAAAUCCUUGGGUAAAUCGGGCAGCUUCACUGUCCGAAGUCCGGGGAGACUGGGAGACUUGGGACCGGGAGAGGUCAGAGGUACUUCUGGGGUAGGGGUAAAAUCCUGUAAUCCUGGAAGGACCACCGGUGGCGAAGGCGUCUGACUAGAACGGAUCCGACGGUGAGGGACGAAGCCCUGGGGCGCAAACGGGAUUAGAUACCCCGGUAGUCCAGGGUGUAAACGCUGCGGGCUUGGUGUUGGGGGUCCUUAGUGGGCGCCCAGUGCCGGAGAGAAGUUGUUAAGCCUGCUGCUUGGGGAGUAUGUCCGCAAGGAUGAAACUUAAAGGAAUUGACGGG
rnacentral:rRNA from 1 species